GAAGAUCUGUGGCUCAGUGGCAGAGCUUCUGCCUCACAUGCAGAAGGUCCGAGGUUCGAUCCCCAGCAUCUCCA